UCGGACACAGGAGGGCCUGCUCUGUUUCUGGGCGUCAUGUUCCAGAGUGUGCCAGCCACGGGAGCGAAGAAAUCAGAUGAGUCUCGAGAGAGGACGGGAUUUUAUUGGUCGCUCACGCCUUAGCGCUACGAGGAGGUCGAGUCAAGUGGCAGCUGUCUGGUCUUCCUGCUCCCCUGCACACCUCACCGCCUGGGUGUUGCUCGUGACCUUGCCCUCCGGCCCCCCACCUCUCCACCUGCCUUCCGGAAGCCCGAAGUCCCCCUCUCCCUGACUCCUCUGUGCUGUGUGCCUGGCCGAGGGCGACUUACCACACGAGAUGGCCUGGAAAGUUGUUGGGACACCAAGGGACCUGCCUGGAAAUUCAUUAAUCUUGGCCUUUCGAGAAAACCUUCCACAGAAUUUAUUUGCAAGCUGAGAGGAGCCUCUGAGGAACAUGAAAGAUUUGGCCAUCAAAUGGAGAUCCUCUACAAAAGUACCUCCUACUCGAAAUAAUAUGUCAUACAAUGUGGGAAUUAAUUGAGAAGCAUCAUUUGCAACGACUAUGACUUCAACCCUACUCAAGCACCAGGAAGGCAUUUAAAGACAAGAAGCUUGCGGUGGGAGACAUGAGAUUAUAAUCUCAUGAAAUGCAAAACAACAUUUAAUUAAGCGAUAAAUCGGGUGGCACCGAUUCUGAAUUCCAAAGGAACGCACAGAAAAAGAUGCGAAGUCAAGGCAGGGUUCCUGAGGUUUCUGGAACCUGAAGUAUGAGUGGUGACUGCCUUAGGCUGGAGGCAGCACAGGAGCCAAGGUAUGGAUGGAGUAAUGAGUAGGGCAUGAUUCUCAGACGACAGGGCAAGGGGCCAGAGCAGAGAGUGGGGGAGGAGGGGGAGAGAGAAAGCUGGAUGGCAGGGUGGCGUCAGAUUGGGGGGGGGGGCCUGAGAUGCAAGCAAAGAAUUGAGAGUCAAUGUGAUAGAAAAUGGGGUCCAACUGAAGGUUUUGGAGUAGAAAAAUGCUUAACAUGGUUUCUAAGAUGAGCAUGUAUGUUUUUCUCAGAGCGGGAAAAGAAAGCAUCCUGAAAAUUUGCCAGUGAAAUGAUCUUUUCAUAGUUUCAAUGGCUUUUUUUGGUGAAGUGUAACUCUUCAUUACAAAAGGAAUGCAUGCUCAUAAUGGACAUAUAAAGAGAAGCCUAAGAAAGAAAAUGUAAAACAUUCAAAGCCCCAUUAACCUAGAACUAAAAACUGCAAGCAGCUUGGUCUAUAUUCUUUAAGACUCCCUUUUAAUGACUGCGAUGGAUUUCCACUGAAAUCCCUUCUCAAGCAAUAGGGUGAAGCUGGGAUAUGGCCACCCUCCUUGAACAGAACGUUUCCGUCUCCCCUGCCACGUGGUUGGCCUCGGAGGAAAGUCUCACCCACCGAGUGGGAGUGAAAGUGUCUGUCUCACUUCUGCCUCAGUGUCUGGCCCGGCACUUCAGCUAGAAAGGCAACAACUUUGAAAGUCAUGCAUUGAAGACAACCGAACUGUUAUCAGCCCGAGUCUCUGAAAGUCUUGGUGGAGGAGAGCUGUCUGCCCAUCUGGUUCGUCCAGCCUGAACUGUCACACGUGCAAAAACUAAACUGCCUUGAUUCACUCAUCAUAUUUUUGGUCCCUUUGUUACAGCAGCUGACGUUACACUAACACAUGUUUAUGCCUAUACAAGUGUGAUUAAAAAAAUAGAAUUGUACCAUACAUACUGUUUCACUUAACAAUACGUUGCAUCAACAGAUACCUUUUAAUAAUGUUUCAAUCUUAUUCUGAAAAUGUCAAAUCUAUAGAGCAGUCGAAAGAACGGUACAAAAAACAGCCCUUACUCUAUUUGCACGCUACGCUCUCUUGAGCCCGCUCUCACACAAGUAUGCACACACUCUCUCUCUAUAUAUAUUCUUUUUCUAAAGAAUUUCAAAGUCACUAGACUUCAUGAUAGUUCACCCCUAAAUACUUACACAUCCAUCUCUUAUCAAAAUAGACAUUCUCCUGCAAAGCCACAGUACCAGCCAUCUUACCUAAAAAAAUGUAAUAGUUCCGUGACAUUGUCUAAUACGUACAGCAUAUUCAAAUUGUCCCCCAAAUGUCUCUCCAGCUGUUUGUUUUGAUCUAUGAUCCAGUCAAGGUACUUAGAUUGCAUGCGGUUUUUAUGUCCCUUUACUCUUUGGUUUUCUGCCUUUUUGGCUUUUUCAUGUUUUUUACUGUUUUGGAGAGUCCCAGCCCCAUAGAAGGUCUUACGUUCUGAAUUUGAUUGUUUUCUCAUGAUAAAAUUCAGGUUAACCAUUUUGGGUAUGCAUAUUCUAUAGGUGGUGUGGUGUCCUUCUGUAUAACGUCACACUUCAGCACCUAACAAUGCUAUUGGUAAUGCUGUUUGAUCUCUAGCUAAGGUGGUGACUGCCAGAUGUCUUCAAUGUAAACUACAUUUCCCCCCAUUGUAAUUAGUAGGUAAUCUAUGAAUGAUUCUUUGACACUGAAUAGCCUAUUCAUAAACAACACUUUACCCAAUGAUUUUAGUGUCUCUUGAUGUACUUUCCCUGAAUUGAUAAUCAUUUGGGGGUAGUAGCAAAACAAUUUUUUUUCCCAAUUCUGUCAUUUCUCCUACAAUUAAUAACUGGCAUUCUUCUCUAGAGAAGAACAACAUUCCCCCCACCUUCUCUUUUAUUUAUGUACAUAUUUAAUUUAUUUAU